GCCCCGGUGGUGAAAUUGGUAGACACGCAGGACUUAAAAUCCUGUUUACAGCAAUGUAAGUAACGGUUCAACUCCGUUCCGGGGCA
rnacentral:tRNA from 1 species